UAGGAUGUGGUGUAAUGGGAACACAAAGGAUUUUGAGCUCUUUGGGAUGGGUUCGAGUUCUGUUGUCCUAG
rnacentral:tRNA from 1 species